ACUAAACACAAUUUUCGAACGCACCAAGCGGUUGCAGCGCUACUAAUAAACAGCUCAGCGUCUAAUCAAUCAGUAUUAUAGCUCUGAGUCGAGCUGUGAGCUCUGUGCGAAAUUCGUUAACUGUUUGUUUGUUUAUUGUGAAUAUAAAUCGGAGUUUGUACGCUGACAGUGAUCUACGACCAAAAACAAAAUGAAUUGAACAGUAAGUUGUUUUUGACAUAACGGUUGUAUGGAAAUGGGUGUGAUUUACCACAUGUACGCAAAGAACCAAUAAAUGGUAGAGAGAAAGAAAGAGACUAAACUAGUUUUUCAAGCACACAUACUUUCCACGGUUGCUCUCGUAUCGUAUGAUUUGUGGGCGUGGCAAGGUACCAAUACCGGCCAUUUACGAAAAUUUACAGAAGCAGCUUCUUCAGAAAUCAGUUAUAAUACUCUUCGGCAGCAUUCUGCGCGGGUAUAAAAAUACACAUUUGAAAUAUGUGAAUUCCAGCAAGUAUAUAAGCAGAGUAAAUAUUUAAAUAUGCACCCAACCUUGUUAAGAGCAAUAUCAUCUAUUAUUAACAUAAUUAAAAGUAUAUUACUGCACUUAA